CACCAGGGAGAUGAACAGUCGGAUGAAGAUGUCAAUGAGGUUGGUGACAACCAGAGAGGUUCUUCGCUGAGCUGAGGAGAACUGCUGCUGCAUGGUAGGAAUGAAGACGCCUCGGAUCGUCGAUCCGUACGACACAAAGAAAUCGGCAUCGGCCGCCAGCGAGCCUCAGAGAGUACAGGUUGUGCUGGUCGAUGAUGUUCCUGACGGCGGUCUGCCACAGCAGACGUUUCCUUCGUAGACCUUGGGCGGGGCUGAUGUUCGCACUGAAGAGGCCUCCAUUGACGCCGUCAGUGCUGAUGAAGCAGAUGGUGUUAAUCUAAUGCCAGGUGAGGCCAGCGCCAUGCUGCCAUGCUGUACUUCAACUUCCUGUUGACUCAACCAUGUUAAAGUAUCCAGAACCAUGAAAGAGGAUUCCUGCUUUACACCAAACUGAAGGUAGACCUUCUGGAUUAAAUUGGCUCAAUGGGAACAAAUCAGUAGGUAAGAAAAGGUAAAGGGUUUUAUUGAAUCCUCUGAAGAUUAGUUUAUAGGAUGAAAAACUGAACGGAGUCAUAGUUGUACUCACUGGUUGCAGAAUUGAUUUGAUCAUCUCCAGUAAGGACUCUGGUUUGUCUUUGUCCUGUUUUUGUUUCCUUGCUGCUUCCUUGUUCAUCUCAGGUCCAUCUUGUUCAGCUCAUCAUGAUUUAUUCAGGAAACAAACACACUUUCCAAGCUCCUCAUUUCUUCAUGAAGGUUUCGUCAGCAGGAAGCGUCCAGUCGUCAUGGUGUCGACAGACGACAGCGUCAGCGUCAGGAGACGCCGCAGGUCGGACCUCGGCGAGGAUCCGGACUCACCGCGUGGCGCCCGGCUUCACCCCC